rnacentral:misc_RNA from 1 species
GAACGCACCUUGCACCUUCUGGUAUUCCGGAAGGUAUGCCCGGUUGAGUAUUAUGAUCAUCUCAAACCUUUGGCUUCUGAUCGCAAAGGUCGUACGUUCGGCGAACCCGUCCGCAGGGACGGCGGUAGCUGAAGUGCGACUUGGAAGCUGGACGGUGUUGGACUUGAGCGUCGUCGGUCCUCUUUGGAUCGACCCGUUUGAAAUGCAUUAGCUGGCGACCCGCCCUACGGUUCCACUCGGCGUGAUAAGUCUUUCGUCGAGGACGUCUUCAAGACGGCCGAAGGAUGUGGUACAGAGCCGCUUCCAAUCGUCUUUGGACAACCUUUGAACUUUAAUCUCAACUCGGGUAGGACUACCCGCUGAACUUA